GAUGAACGCUGGCGGCGUGCCUAAUACAUGCAAGUCGAGCGAACAGACGAGGAGCUUGCUCCUCUGACGUUAGCGGCGGACGGGUGAGUAACACGUGGAUAACCUACCUAUAAGACUGGGAUAACUUCGGGAAACCGGAGCUAAUACCGUAUAACAUGUUGAACCGCAUGGUUCAACAGUGAAAGGCGGUCUUGCUGUCACUUAUAGAUGGAUCCGCGCCGCAUUAGCUAGUUGGUAAGGUAACGGCUUACCAAGGCAACGAUGCGUAGCCGACCUGAGAGGGUGAUCGGCCACACUGGAACUGAGACACGGUCCAGACUCCUACGGGAGGCAGCAGUAGGGAAUCUUCCGCAAUGGGCGAAAGCCUGACGGAGCAACGCCGCGUGAGUGAAGAAGGUCUUCGGAUCGUAAAACUCUGUUAUUAGGGAAGAACAAAUGUGUAAGUAACUAUGCACGUCUUGACGGUACCUAAUCAGAAAGCCACGGCUAACUACGUG
rnacentral:rRNA from 1 species